UACGAAGGAUCCAAGCGUUGUCCGGAUUUACUGGGUUUAAAGGGUGCGUAGGCGGAUUGAUAAGUCAGUGGUGAAAGCUCCCAGCUUAACUGGGAAACUGCCAUUGAUACUGAUGGUCUUGAGUACAUUUGAGGUGGGCGGAAUGUGUCAUGUAGCGGUGAAAUGCUUAGAUAUGACACAGAACACCGAUUGCGAAGGCAGCUCACUAAACUGUAACUGACGCUGAGGCACGAAAGCGUGGGGAGCAAACAGG
rnacentral:rRNA from 1 species